CGUGUAGGCGGGUCGUUAAGUUGGGGGUGAAAUCCCGGGGCUCAACUCCGGAACUGCCUUCAAAACUGGCGACCUGGACUCAAGUAGAGGCAAGUGGAAUUGCGAGUGUAGAGGUGAAAUUCGUAGAUAUUCGCAGGAACACCAGUGGCGAAGGCGACUUGCUGGGCUUGUAGUGACGCUGAGACGCGAAAGCGUGGGGAGCAAACA
rnacentral:rRNA from 1 species